UACGUGAAAUUGUUGAAAGGGAAUGUUUAUGACCAGACUUGGGCUUGGUUAAUCAUCUGGGGUUCUCCCCAGUGCACUUUUCCAGUCCAGGCCAGCAUCAGUUUUCCCCGGGGAGUAGAAGGCGGCUGGAAUGUGGCUCUCUUCGGGGAGUGUUAUAGCCCACCGUGUAAUACCCUGGGGGGGACUGAGGUUCGCGCAUCUGCAAGGAUGCUGGCGUAAUGGUCAUCAACGACCCGUCUUGAAACACGGACCAAGGAGUCGUCUUCGUAUGCGAGUGUUCGGGUGUCAAACCCCUACNCGUAAUGAAAGUGAACGCAGGUGAGAGCUUCGGCGCAUCAUCGACCGAUCCAAGCAGCCAG
rnacentral:rRNA from 1 species